UUCCAUGGUAGGCCUGAGAAGAAUGUCAGGGACAAGUCUGCUCUUCCCUAUUCCUGCAGAUCACAGUCUGGAGCUUCCAAUAUGAUUCCAAGGAAGUCUAUUUGAAAUAUGGCCCUGUUACAACCAGAGAUAGGGCUUUGUUCGGUCAGAUGGGUCCAGGUUUCCCUUUGAUGAUGUUACUCAUUAAAAUCUCUAAAUAUUUCUCCAGACAAUUAAGAAGAGUUGAUGAACAUUCGCCCAGUUUCCCUGAGAGGCCAGCUGGUGCUAAGGUGGAGCUCUGGGGACUGGAGAGGAGGAGGAGUCAGAGUCUGCUUCCUUGAGAAGGCCAGAAGUCAGAGAAGAAAACUUAGCCAGCAAGCACAGGUACCGCCCUUGCUGCCCAUUGGAAUUGUGGAAGCAGGAAGGACCACCUAGCAUUUGUUCUUUUCUUGAGUUGGUUUUGCCUCAAUAGAGGCAGAAAUGGAGCAGCUGUAAGCAGCUAGUCCUGGGGCAGGUAAUGAAAAAGCGUGGCUUUCUUGGCCCUGAUUGCAACCCUCUGUGCAGAUGAGCUUAACUUGGGGCAGCCAACUUGAGAAGGAAGGAGUCUGGAAGAGAUAAUUGUGGACAACAGAGAGCUGGCCUGAAGAUAUUCUGCUGAAUUCUGCAUAUCUCUGAACAGACAUCAGAUAUCAGACACUAAAUUUUCAAGAUGCCUCCAAUCCACAAAAUAGAAGAAAGAAGGAAAAAAGAGACAGGGAUCUUUUUUUGUCAGGAAUCUUGAACUCUGUUGAUUGUAGAAGGCUGUUGGAUAUAAAUGCAUAAAGAAACAUAAAGGAAGGAUGCAUAUGUGUGUGCAUGCACAUGUGCAAAUUCCUGGCAAUACCUGCCUGCAGCCUUCUUCUGCUUCUCCAAGAUAUGUCUGUACAUAAGCUUACAAU
rnacentral:lncRNA from 1 species